GACGAACGCUGGCGGCGUGCUUAACACAUGCAAGUCGAACGGAAAGGCCCUGCUUUUGUGGGGUGCUCGAGUGGCGAACGGGUGAGUAACACGUGAGUAACCUGCCCUUGACUUUGGGAUAACUUCAGGAAACUGGGGCUAAUACCGGAUAGGAGCUCCUGCUGCAUGGUGGGGGUUGGAAAGUGUCGGCGGUUGGGGAUGGACUCGCGGCUUCUCAGCUUGUUGGUGGGGUAGUGGCUUACCAAGGCUUUGACGGGUAGCCGGCCUGAGAGGGUGACCGGCCACAUUGGGCCUGAGAUACGGCCCAGACUCCUACGGGCGGCAGCAGUGGGGAAUAUUGCACAGUGGGCGGAAGCCUGAUGCAGCAACGCCGCGUUCGGGAUGACGGCCUUCGGGUUGUAAACCGCUUUCGCCUGUAACGAGGCGUGAGUGACGGUAAUGGGUAAAGAAGCACCGGCUAACUACGUG
rnacentral:rRNA from 1 species